ensembl:ncRNA lncRNA:CR46098 long non-coding RNA:CR46098
ACACACGGGCACAUACACACACACACACGCAGCCACGUGGAGGAGCCGAUUUGGAAAUGUGCAUCCUGCAUGCUGAAUAUCUAGAUCCACAACACCACCACACACAUACGCAGCCCGCGAAGAGGGACGCGAAUGAUGGUCAGGACAUCAAACCCGUUAAGAGAGCCGAACAGAGCGAAUUUCGUGAGCAGGACAUGAGUAACAAGUUGUUGCACUGGUGGGUGGUGGGUGCGCGCGCGAGAGAGAGAGAGAGAGAAAGGUGAGAGUGGCGCUUUGCUCCGAUUGGUCGAGAAAAAGCGAG